GAUGAACGCUGGCGGCGUGCCUAAUACAUGCAAGUCGAGCGAACACACGAGGAGCUUGCUCCUCUGACGUUAGCGGCGGACGGGCGAGUAACAAGUAGAUCACCUUCUUAUAAUACUGGGGUAACUACGGGGAAACACAGACGAUAACGGAUCAUAUAUCCUACGGCAUGGAUCAAUAGUGCUAGACAGCUUUCCCGUCAGUAUUAGAUGAAUUCGUGUCGGAUUAUCUAGUUGGUAAGGUAACGGCUUACCAAGGCAACGAUGCGUAGCCGACCUGAGAGGGUGAUCAGCCACACUGGAACUGAGACACGGUCCAGACUCCUACGGGAGGCAGCAGUAGGGAAUCUUCCGCAAUGGGCGAAAGCCUGACGGAGCAACGCCGCGUGAGUGAAGAAGGUCUUCGGAUCGUAAAACUCUUUUAUUAGGGAAGAACAAAAGUGUGUUUAUCUAUGGACGUCUUGACGGUACCUAAACAAAAAGCCACGGCUAACUACGUG
rnacentral:rRNA from 1 species